AAUCCUGGAGAGAGAAUCCUGUGUGAUCUCCUUAGAUCAUUUCACAAAUAGCCACUUGCUUUGUCUCCUUAAACAACCCUUCCCCCAGUCAUCCCUAUGGUAGUUCCUCCAAAACACCCAGCCCUCCUCUCUCUCUCAGGCUCUUUCUGCCCGCAUUCUCUGCCUAGAUCAUUCUUACUCAUUUUUCAUGGCUGGGGACAAGGGUCACCUCCUCUGUAGAGCCUACUCUGAUGCCCUGAAAUUAGGUCACUCCUAUGUGCUUCCACAGAACCUAAUGCCCCCCUCUCCACUUGCCUACAGACCAUUAAGCUCAGGACUCCAUCUCUGGGUCCUCUUCCCAACACUAGAGGAGAGUGUCCUCAGAAGUGGCAGGAUCCUCCCUUUCCACAGUGCUUAAGAGAUUCUGCUCCAGAAAAUGGCCCAGCAUUGAUAUCCAAAGCUGUGGAUGUUUGCUGACACAAGAGUCCAGGAAGUGCAGGAGGAAAGAGAAGGAGGACAGCAAUCAGUCACAGCUCCUUCCAGCAUUCACACAGUGACUACCACUAAUUACGCCUCUCAGACCUGUGUUUGAGCAGACCUAUUUUCUCUAUGAAUUAAUGCCAAGUGACCUACUUUUCUACAUAUUAUUCAUUAUUUGUUCUGCUGUUUUAUCGAUUUUGAGACUGUUGUGCUACACAGGAAUAAAAAAAAAUCCAAUACAAUAAAACUCCUCUCAUUGAAAAUAAUAUAGCCACACCAUGAAAUAUAAAUUUAUUUUUUCUUUAUGAAAAGAUAGCAUCUGUAGACUACAUUUAGGCUGUGGGAAUUAGCUGAAGGCUGCUUCGUUGGAUUAAUAAAAACAAAAAGAAAUAUAAAUAUGUUAAUGUUUAGACAUGAAACCUAAGAUAAAAUAAUAGACUACAUUUCUAAGUUUUAAAACUUGUUUGCUUAUAAUAUUCUAGAGAUAUUUAUUUCAUAAAAGAGCACAAUGUUAGUUUUACAAGACUAUAUGUAUUUUCUAUUUAUAUUCCUCUUGU
rnacentral:lncRNA from 1 species